GCUAACCAUGCACUUUUAACCUACACUUGUUAGAUAAUGUUUCAUAACAGGGUUCUUUGUUGAUUUGGGUUUGUUGCUGUGUGCUUGUGGUUUCAAAAUAAAUGUGAACAAAGCGGUGUGCCAGAACUGCAAUGCGCCAUGACCUAGUUGACCCUUUUAGGCUAAUGUUGGAAAUCCCUCUAGUGGACAGAACGUAUAACAACCACAUGCUGAUAGUAGCAUUGGCAAUGCAUUAGUCUUGCAAUGCCAGACCUCCACAGCGCGGCGGAGGAGGGUCUGGCUAGUCCACACAGCAUUCCGGGAUGGGA